rnacentral:tRNA from 1 species
GCCUCCAUAGCUCAGUGGUAGAGCAACUGAUUUGUAAUCAGUAGGUCGUCGGUUCAAAUCCGGCUGGGGGCU